UGUGCCAGCAGCCGCGGUAAUACGUAGGGUGCGAGCGUUAAUCGGAAUUACUGGGCGUAAAGCGUGCGCAGGCGGUUUGGUAAGACAGGCGUGAAAUCCCCGGGCUCAACCUGGGAACUGCGCUUGUGACUGCCUCACUAGAGUACGGCAGAGGGGGGUGGAAUUCCACGUGUAGCAGUGAAAUGCGUAGAGAUGUGGAGGAACACCGAUGGCGAAGGCAGCCCCCUGGGCCGAUACUGACGCUCAUGCACGAAAGCGUGGGUAGCAAACAGGAUUAGAUACCCUGGUAGUCCACGCCCUAAACGGUGUCAACUAGUUGUUGGGGGGGUAAAACCCUUUAGUAACGUAGCUAACGCGUGAAGUUGACCGCCUGGGGAGUACGGCCGCAAGGUUAAAACUCAAAGGAAUUGACGGGGACCCGCACAAGCGGUGGAUGAUGUGGAUUAAUUCGAUGCAACGCGAAAAACCUUACCUACCCUUGACAUGUUCAGAAGCCUGAAGAGAUUUGGGUGUGCCCGAAAGGGAACUGGAACACAGGUGCUGCAUGGCUGUCGUCAGCUCGUGUCGUGAGAUGUUGGGUUAAGUCCCGCAACGAGCGCAACCCUUGUCGUUAAUUGCCAUCAUUAAGUUGGGCACUUUAGCGAGACUGCCGGUGACAAACCGGAGGAAGGUGGGGAUGACGUCAAGUCCUCAUGGCCCUUAUGGGUAGGGCUUCACACGUCAUACAAUGGUCGGUACAGAGGGUUGCCAAGCCGCGAGGUGAGCCAAUCCCAGAAAGCCGAUCGUAGUCCGAUGGAGGCUGCACUCGCUCAUGAGUCGGAAUCGCUAGUAAUCGCGAAUCAGCAUGUUCGCGGUGA
rnacentral:rRNA from 1 species